GAUGAACGCUAGCGGUGUGCCUAAUGCAUGCAAGUCGAACGGGAUCCUUUGGAUUCGUCUGAAGGUGAGAGUGGCGAACGGGUGAGUAACACGUAGGUGACCUGCCCCGGAGAGGGGGACAACCACUGGAAACGGUGGCUAAUACCCCAGAUGUUAUUGCGCUUAGAAAGCAAUUACUAAAGUUCCGGCGCUCCGGGAGGGGCCUGCGGCCCAGUCAGCUUGUUGGUAAGGUAAUGGCUUACCAAGGCUAAGACGGGUAGGGGGCGUGAGAGCGUGACCCCCCACACUGGUACUGAGACACGGACCAGAUACCUGCGGGUAGCAGCAGACAAGGAAUAUUGCCCAAUGGACGAAAGUCUGAGGCAGCAACACCGCGUGGAGGAUGAAGGCC
rnacentral:rRNA from 1 species